GACGAAGGAUGCAAGCGUUAUCCGGAUUCAUUGGGUUUAAAGGGAGCGUAGGUGGCCUUAUAAGUCAGUGGUGAAAUCUCUGGGCUUAACCCAGAAAUUGCCAUUGAUACUGUAGGGCUUGAGUAUAGUUGCCGUUGGCGGAAUAUGACAUGUAGUGGUGAAAUACAUAGAGAUGUCAUAGAGCACCGAUUGCGAAGGCAGCUGACGAAACUAUAACUGACACUGAGGCUCGAAAGUGCGGGGAUCAAACAGG
rnacentral:rRNA from 1 species